GGGGGACGAGGGUCAGGCCCAACAACAGCGAGAAUUUUCUUGUUCAACUUCAAUUCAUAUGAAUGCAAUGAUUCAGAUCGGAGUUAACGUAUAAUCUGAAGUUGGGAUCUGUCAAUGGCUAGGAUCUUCGAGUACUUCGUAGUAUGUGGUAUUGGGACAGAGAUACGGACCUUGGAUGGUAACAGAGGGUACCAUGGCGCAGGGGUUAUGUAUAUGCCAGCGCUUCUUGAUCAGUACCCUCCUUCCAAUCAUACUCUCUAUCCUCCCCCUCCUCCUCAACUUCCUACUUGUGUUCUACCAGCUGGUGUGGAAUUCUACGGGUCAGGUUUUGAUUCAAAUGAUCCAUCAACUCUCCCCAGGAGUUAUCCUAUUGUUUUGACUGAGGGUGAUGGGUCAAAGAUUUACGUCAGCUGCAUCGCAUUUCGGGAUCCUGUUUGUGAGGAUAUUGCCGAAGCUUACUGCAUUCCUGUAAAUUCAUAUGCUGACAAGUGCAUCUGUCUUGUCUCACGCUCUCCCAGUUUUCAAAUCCUUCGAGAUGCCCUUGAGGAAAUUUUUGUGCUUUGUUUUUCCUCCUCUGGAAGCAGCAAGCCACUGUGGGAUGUUAUAGCAUAUUCAGUCUCCAAUGUACCUUUGCCAACACCUGGAAAAGAUAGGGUGCUAUUUGCUAUUGAGAACAGCCUUCUCUCUGUUGAAGUUCCACCAAAGGAGGGCCUUCCUCAUGCCGAUAUAUCAUUUCAGCCUUUGCUUCAGUGUUUGGAUGUGGACAAUGUUAUCCAAUUAUUUACAGCUGUUCUACUCGAGAGAAGGAUUUUGCUUCGAUCGAACAUGUAUUCUCUGUUAACACUUGUAUCAGAAGCCAUAUGCCAUUUAAUUUAUCCGUUUCGGUGGCAGCAUGUCUA
rnacentral:misc_RNA from 1 species